UACAGAGGGUGCAAGCGUUGUCCGGAAUUACUGGGCGUAAAGCGUGCGCAGGCGGUUUUGUAAGCCAGAUGUGAAAGCCCCGGGCUUAACCUGGGAAUGGCAUUUGGGACUGCAAGGCUUGAGUGCGGCAGAGGAGACUGGAAUUCCUGGUGUAGCAGUGAAAUGCGUAGAUAUCAGGAGGAAUACCGAUGGCGAAGGCGGCACUCUGGGCCGAUACUGACACUGAGGAGCGAAAGCGUGGGGAGCGAACAGG
rnacentral:rRNA from 1 species